AUACUUACCUACUCGGGGCGGCUGUGCUCAAGAAGACGGCUUAGCCUGCUUGACUACCCUGCAUUGCACAGCGCGGCCGGUGGCGAGCAUGUACUCUCCGUUGGGGUUUACACUGGGACAAUUUUUGAUUGCGACUUCGGUCACUU
rnacentral:snRNA from 19 species